GGCUUCGUAGGUUCAAAUCCUACAUCAUCCG
rnacentral:tRNA from 1 species